rnacentral:rRNA from 1 species
GGGUCAGUAGGUUGGUCGUGCCACCGGUACGUACUGGUCUCACUGAUUCCUCCUCCCUGAAGAACCGUAAUGUCAUUAAUUUGGUGUUGCGGGGAAACAGGACUGUUACUUUGAAAAAAUUAGAGUGUUUAAAGCAAGCUAACGCUUGAAUACAUUAGCAUGGAAUAAUGAAAUAGGACGAUCGAUCCUAUUUUGUUGGUUUCUAGGAUUGACGUA